rnacentral:rRNA from 1 species
GCUAAUUUAGCACAUAACGUCGCAAGACCAAAGUGGGGGACCUUCGGGCCUCAUUGCCAAUGCCAUCAGAUGUGCCCAGAUGGGAUUAGCUAGGUGGGGUAACGGCUCACCUAGGCGACGAUCCCUAGCUGGUCUGAGAGGAUGACCAGCCACACUGGAACUGAGACACGGUCCUCCUACGGGAGGCAGCAGUGGGGAAUAUUGCACAAUGGGCGCAAGCCUGAUGCAGCCAUGCCGCGUGUAUGAAGAAGGCCUUCGGGUUGUAAAGUACUUUCAGCGGGAAGGCGAUAAGGUUAAUAACCUUGUCGAUUGACGUUACCCGCAGAAGAAGCACCGGCUAACUCCGUGCCAGCCGCGGUAAUACGGAGGGUGCAAGCGUUAAUCGGAAUUACUGGGCGAGCGCACGUUGUCACAGGCGGUCUGUCAAGUCGGAUGUGAAAUCCCCGGGCUCAACCUGGUAAUGACCAGAACUGCAUUCGAAACUGGCAGGCUAGAGUCUUGUAGAGGGGGGUAGAAUUCCAGGUGUAGCGGUGAAAUGCGUAGAUCUGGAGGAUACGUGGCGAAGCUGCCCCUGGAGGUUGUGCCCCUGAGGCGUGGAUCGGCUUCCGGAGCUAACGCGUUAAAUCGACCGCCUGGGGAGUACGGCCGCAAGAAAACUCAAAUGAAUUGACGGGGGCCCGCACAAGCGGUGGAGCAUGUGGUUUAAUUCGAUGCAACGCGAAGAACCUUACCUGGUCUUGACAUCCACAGAACUUAGCAGAGAUGCUUUGGUGCGGGAACUGUGAGACAGGUGCUGCAUGGCUGUCGUCAGCUCGUGUUGUGAAAUGUUGGGUUAAGUCCCGCAACGAGCGCAACCUCCUUUGUUGCCAGCGGUCCGGCCGGGAACUCAAAGGAGACUGCCAGUGAUAAACUGGAGGAAGGUGGGGAUGACGUCAAGUCAUCAUGGCCCUUACGACCAGUUGAUCGGCUACACACGUGCUACAAUGGCAUAUACAAAGAGAAGCGACCUCGCGAGAGCAAGCGGACCUCAGUUGUCGUAGUCCGGAUUGGAGUCUGCACGACUCCAUGAAGUCGGGCUAGUAAUUGACU